rnacentral:lncRNA from 1 species
ACCAACUCCAUACUACUACAAAUCACCUCCACCUCCCUCACCGGUUUACAAGUACAAAUCGCCACCUCCACCGGUCCAUUACUAUUCACCUCCAUAUUACUACAAGUCACCUCCACCUCCCUCACCAGUUUACAAGUACAAUUCCCCACCUCCACCAGUCCACCAUUAUGAUCCUCCAUAUUACUACAAGUCACCUCCACCUCCCUCACCAGUUUACAAGUACAACUCCCCACCUCCACCAGUCCACCAUUACGAUCCUCCAUAUUACUACAAGUCACCUCCACCUCCCUCACCGGUUUACAAGUACAACUCCCCACCUCCACCAGUCCAUUAUUAUUCACCUCCAUAUUACUACAAAUCACCCCCUACUCCUGUGAAAUCGCCACCACCUCCAUACUACUAUAAAUCACCGCCUCCUCCCUCACCAGUUUAUAAGUAUAGCUCACCACCUCCACCAGUCCACCAUUAUGAUCCUCCAUAUAACUACAAGUCACCUCCACCGCCUUCACCUGUUUACAAGUACAACUCCCCACCUCCACCAGUCCAUUAUUAUUCACCUCCAUAUUACUACAAAUCACCCCCUCCUCCUGUGAAAUCGCCACCACCUCCUUACUACUAUAAAUCACCUCCUCCUCCCUCACCGGUUUACAAAUACAACUCACCACCUCCACCGGUUUACAAGUACAACUCACCACCUCCGCCAGUCCAUUAUUACUCUCCUCCAUAUUACUAUAAGUCACCUCCACCUCCUUCACCGGUUUACAA